rnacentral:lncRNA from 1 species
CUGCAGCCUGCCUUGGCCACUUUCAGCCUGGUGGGCCUGGGCAGUCAAUUCUCCUAGAAGCAACUGAAUCUCCUCACUUGUCUGAGGGGGACAUCAGGUAGCGGGGCUCCAUGGACCCCAGAGCAUCUGGCCUGAUGGGUACUGGUCACUCCUGGGAUGUCAGGGAUUCCUUUCAUUCUUAUUAUAGCUGGGAGGUCCUUCCUGUGUCUGACUCUGGUUUCUGGGGAUGCACCAAACAUCCAGGUCCCUCUGGAGCAUUGAACACCUUGCCCUCCUCUGGCCUGUCCUUCUCCCAGCUACUUUCCUUGUUUGACAUGAUGAUGAGACUUGGGAACUGACUGUGGGUUGCAAAAGGUGUAAGAAUCUCCAGGAACAGAGAGUUGGCACCAAACCUGGAAGACAAGAGUGCUUAGCUCUCUCUUGUGAGAAUCCCUGGGUAGAAUCCUGUUCCUAUCUGUCUGAUGGUCCUUUCCAUGUUCUCAUACCCACCCUUCCAGAACCCCCAGGUGGGAGAACUUUCAUUCUUGUAUUUGCCCUUUUUUUCUGCUUUAAUCCAAGUUUAUCACAGAGGGACUUGAUGGUAAUGCAGAGGAGGCUCCAAAACCCAUCCAAUAAGGAAGGCAGCCUUUUCCCUAAGUGAGGACAAAGAGGAGCCCUGGUCAAAAAGUCUCAGUUCCCAUGUUGCUGUCUUCCCACAAGGCCAUUUCCACCCAGUUUAAGCCUCCCCUGAACCACAGAACUGCUUCAAGACAAGAGCACAAAAGCUGCCACCCAUCCCUGUGGCUGGCACCUUCUACCCUCCCUGGCCUUAGCACUCAUCUUAGCCCCAGGGCAUCUCUGGUCUUCUCUUCUAUCAUCCCUUUUUAAUGUCCAAAGGUCAGGACAUUAAAGCAGUCUUUGGAAACUCAAGGUGCCCAGGUCAGGGUUCUAAGAGAGGAGAUGGAGCCAAAGACCUUGGAUCUUGGCUGAAGCCCAGUCCUUUCAAGGGAACCAGAGGCCACCACCCUGGGUUUGUUUGUUCCAGACCCAAACUCUUAUAGUUGCCUAUGAACCCCAUGUGGGCCUAACCAAAACCCCAGCUCCGUGUGUGUGUGUGUGUGUGUGUGUGUGUGUGUAUGUGUGUACCUUUUGCCACCUUAAUAGUCAUAUGUUGGCUUGAACAUUUAGCCUUACUUAUGCGUGGAGGGGUGCCAUAGCAUGUGUACCUGUGUAUAACAGUGCUGAUAUGAAAUUUGCCAGAGAGCAAGUGUGUCGAUGUGGGCUUGGGUUGGGUGUGUAACUGUGCACAUACUUACGAGCCUAUUGUAUGAAUGUGAUUGUAACUUUGAAAACUGCUAGGAGCACACAUCAGCAUUUGUUCUUGGUAACUGUGGGAUGCGUGUUUAAAUGACACACGUGUGCACCAGUGGACAUAUAUAUGAUUACAAAUAAUUGUGUCUGAAUCAUACAUUAUGCCCCUGGGUUGCUUUGGGUUCAUAACUGCAUACAAGCAAGAAUCCAUGCAAAGUUGUGCAUGAGAUUUAACCAGCUUGUGUGCAUUAACCAUUGACCAUUGUGUGUGUGUGUGUGUGUGUGCAUGCGCGUGUGGGUGAUUUUUGACAUGGGGCAGGUGUUGCUGCAGAAAUGUGUGUGUUUAGGCCCACGACUGGAGACAACAAUUAUGUGUUGACAAACUCCAGCCACCCCUUAAGCCACGUCCAGCAAGAAGGAAAUGUGUAAAUGUGUUUGUGAAACUCAAAACAGAACAGGGACAAAAUGCCAGGCCCUGCCAUGGCAGCCGCAAAUUGAGGACGGGUUUUUUUUUUUUUCUCUGUCUCCAUCUCUCCCUCUCUCCAGCAUCUCGGCCCCUCUCUGGCGUCGUUCCUCACACCUAAGCCCAAUGGUGUUUUGCAGUCUUUCAGCUGUUACCUCAGUCCCUCCUCGCCUCAUUCCCGAUUCACUCCGUUGCUAUAGGUAUGUUUGAAACCCCAGCGUGGUAGAUUUUAAUUAGUCUUCCUACAGAUGGCCAAUUAACAUUCAUUACUUUUGCCUUGAGCGAUUAAUUAUGAGUUUGGAUAGAAAAGGAGAGAAGAGGAGAGGAAGAUGGGCAGGUGAAUGAAAGGAGAAAAGAGAAGGGGGUUUGAUUGGGAGUUUGGAAUUUUUACACAGAGCAGGCUGGUGGGGGAGAGGGUGGGAAAGAGCUG